UCAGAUCUUCUAAACUGUUGACUG
rnacentral:piRNA from 1 species